GCAAACUUGGUCAUUUAGAGGAAGUAAAAGUCGUAACAAGGUUUCCGUAGGUGAACCUGCGGAAGGAUCAUUAUCGAGUUUUGACUGGGUUGUAGCUGGCCUUACGAGGCAUGUGCACGCCCUGUUAAUCCACUCUACACCUGUGCACUUACUGUGGGUUUCAGAUCGUGAAUUGGGCCUACGGGCUCGUGAAGCGCAUCUGUGCCUGCGUUUAUUACAAACACUAUAAAGUAUCAGAAUGCAUUGUGUUGCGAUGUAACGCAUCCAUAUACAACUUUCAGCAACGGAUCUCUUGGCUCUCGCAUCGAUGAAGAACGCAGC
rnacentral:misc_RNA from 1 species